rnacentral:tRNA from 1 species
GCCUGGGUGGCUCAGUCGGUUGAGCGUCCAACUUCAGCUUGGGUCAUGAUCUCACAGCUCAUGAGUUCAAGCCCCUCAUCAGGCU